CAAUAACAGGUUCGUCACGCGUGGUAUCCGGACGGUAAUGGUAAACCGUUCUGCUCAGGUUCAGACUCCGGCAGGCCUGACGGAUACUGAGUCCAAAUGUCGUUAUCAGAUGAGUGACCAGCUCACGCUUAAAGGCUGGUUUU
rfam:Klebsiella pneumoniae ISC21, WGS project CBWQ01000000 data, contig: c38